rnacentral:rRNA from 1 species
CGGCGGACGGGUGAGUAAUGUCUGGGAAACUGCCUGAUGGAGGGGGAUAACUACUGGAAACGGUAGCUAAUACCGCAUAACGUCGCAAGACCAAAGAGGGGGACCUUCGGGCCUCUUGCCAUCGGAUGUGCCCAGAUGGGAUUAGCUAGUAGGUGGGGUAACGGCUCACCUAGGCGACGAUCCCUAGCCGGUCUGAGAGGAUGACCAGCCACACUGGAACUGAGACACGGUCCAG